GACGAACGCUGGCGGCGUGCUUAACACAUGCAAGUCGAACGGAAAGGCCCUGCUUUUGUGGGGUGCUCGAGUGGCGAACGGGUGAGUAACACGUGAGUAACCUGCCCUUGACUUUGGGAUAACUUCAGGAAACUGGGGCUACUACCGGAUAGGAGCUCCUGCUGCAUGGUGGGGGUUGGAUAGUUUCGGCGGUUGGGGAUGGACUCGCGGCUUAUCAGCUUGUUGGUGGGGUAGUGGCUUACCAAGGCUUUGACGGGUAGCCGGCCUGAGGGGGUGACCGGCCACAUUGGGACUGAGAAACGGCCCAGACUCCUACGGGAGGCAGCAGUGGGGAAUAUUGCACAAUGGGCGGAAGCCUGAUGCAGCAACGCCGCGUGCGGGAUGACGGCCUUCGGGUUGUAAACCGCUUUCGCCUGUGACGAAGCGUGAGUGACGGUAAUGGGUAAAGAAGCACCGGCUAACUACGUG
rnacentral:rRNA from 1 species